CGUGUCCUACGGGGGGCAGCAGUGGGGGAUAUUGCACAAUGGGGGGAACCCUGAUGCAGCGACGCCGCGUGAGCGAUGGAGUACUUCGGUAUAUAAAGCUCUGUCAGCAGGGAAGAAAAUGACGGUACCUGACCAAGAAGCCCCGGCUAAAUACGUGCCAGCAGCCGCGGUAAUACGUAGGGGGCAAGCGUUAUCCGGAUUUACUGGGUGUAAAGGGAGCGUAGGUGGCAGGGCAAGUCAGAUGUGAAAACCCGGGGCUCAACUCCGGGAGUGCAUUUGAAACUGUCCAGCUAGAGUGCAGGAGG
rnacentral:rRNA from 1 species